rnacentral:rRNA from 1 species
CUGCCUUGCACUUCGGGAUAAGCCUGGGAAACUAGGUCUAAUACCGGAUAUGACCUCAGAAUGCAUGUUCUGGGGUGGAAAGAUUUAUCGGUGCGAGAUGGGCCCGCGGCCUAUCAGCUUGUUGGUGAGGUAACGGCUCACCAAGGCGACGACGGGUAGCCGACCUGAGAGGGUGACCGGCCACACUGGGACUGAGACACGGCCCAGACUCCUACGGGAGGCAGCAGUGGGGAAUAUUGCACAAUGGGCGAAAGCCUGAUGCAGCGACGCCGCGUGGAGGAUGACGGCCUUCGGGUUGUAAACUCCUUUUGACAGGGACGAAGCGAAAGUGACUGUACCUGUAGAAGAAGCACCGGCCAACUACGUGCCA